rnacentral:tRNA from 1 species
CGGAUUAGGGCCGGCAUGGGUAGGCAUCUCGUUUGGGGCGGGAGAUAGUUAUGUUCGAAUCAUAAUAAUCCGA